GCCGUCGUAGUACAAUGGUAGUACAUUGCUUUCCUAGGUCGGUUUUAGCUCAACCUGCAAGGCAAAGGUUUUGGGUUCGAGCCCCAUCGUCGGUU